rnacentral:rRNA from 2 species
CUUAAAUUGAAGAGUUUGAUCAUGGCUCAGAUUGAACGCUGGCGGCAGGCCUAACACAUGCAAGUCGAGCGGAAACGAGUUAUCUGAACCUUCGGGGGACGAUAACGGCGUCGAGCGGCGGACGGGUG